rnacentral:rRNA from 1 species
GCUACGGGAGGCAGCAGUGAGGAAUAUUGGUCAAUGGGCGCGAGCCUGAACCAGCCAAGUAGCGUGAAGGAUGACUGCCCUACGGGUUGUAAACUUCUUUUAUAAAGGAAUAAAGUGAGGCACGUGUGCCUUUUUGUAUGUACUUUAUGAAUAAGGAUCGGCUAACUCCGUGCCAGCAGCCGCGGUAAUACGGAGGAUCCGAGCGUUAUCCGUCUUGAUUGGGUUUAAAGGGAGCGUAGAUGGGUUGUUAAGUCAGUUGUGAAAGUUUUGGGCUCAACCGUAAAAUUGCAAUUGAUACUGGCAGUCUUGAGUACAGUUGAGGUAGUCGGAAUUCGUGGUGUAGCGGUGAAAUGCUUAGAUAUCACGAAGAACUCCGAUUGCGAAGGCAGCUUACUAAACUGCCACUGACAUUGAUGCUCGAAAGUGUGGGUAUCAAACAGGAUUAGAUACCCCAGUAGUC